rnacentral:rRNA from 1 species
GUGGGGAAUAUUGGACAAUGGGCGAAAGCCUGAUCCAGCCAUGCCGCGUGUGUGAAGAAGGUCUUCGGAUUGUAAAGCACUUUAAGUUGGGAGGAAGGGUAGUAACCUAAUACGUUGCUACUUUGACGUUACCGACAGAAUAAGCACCGGCUAACUUCGUGCCAGCAGCCGCGGUAAUACGAAGGGUGCAAGCGUUAAUCGGAAUUACUGGGCGUAAAGCGCGCGUAGGUGGUUCAGCAAGUUGGAGGUGAAAUCCCCGGGCUCAACCUGGGAACUGCCUCCAAAACUACUGAGCUAGAGUACGGUAGAGGGUAGUGGAAUUUCCUGUGUAGCGGUGAAAUGCGUAGAUAUAGGAAGGAACACCAGUGGCGAAGGCGACUACCUGGACUGAUACUGACACUGAGGUGCGAAAGCGUGGGGAGCAAACAGGAUUAGAUACCCGAGUAGUCC